AACGAACGCUGGCGGCAUGCCUAACACAUGCAAGUCGAACGAGACCUUCGGGUCUAGUGGCGCACGGGUGCGUAACGCGUGGGAACCUGCCCUUAGGUUCGGAAUAACUCCCCGAAAGGGGUGCUAAUACCGGAUAAUGUCUUCGGACCAAAGAUUUAUCGCCUUUGGAUGGGCCCGCGUUGGAUUAGCUAGUUGGUAGGGUAAAAGCCUACCAAGGCGACGAUCCAUAGCUGGUCUGAGAGGAUGAUCAGCCACACUGGGACUGAGACACGGCCCAGACUCCUACGGGGCAGCAGUGGGGAAUAUUGGACAAUGGGCGAAAGCCUGAUCCAGCAAUGCCGCGUGAGUGAUGAAGGCCUUAGGGUUGUAAAGCUCUUUUACCCGGGAUGAUAAUGACAGUACCGGGAGAAUAAGCUCCGGCUAACUCCGUG
rnacentral:rRNA from 1 species